rnacentral:rRNA from 1 species
AACCAGCACCUCAAGUGGUCAGGAUGAUUACUGGGCCUAAAGCAUCCGUAGCCUGCUUUGUUAGUUUUCGGUUAAAUCUGUGCGCUUAACGCACAGGCUGCCGGAAAUACUGCAAAGCUAGGAAGUGGGAGAGGUAGACGGUACUCGGUAGGAAGGGGUAAAAUCCUUUGAUCUAUUGAUGACCACCUGUGGCGAAGGCGGUCUACCAGAACACGUUCGACGGUGAGGGAUGAAAGCUGGGGGAGCAAACCGGAUUAGAUACCCGGGUAGUCCCAGCUGUAAACUAUGCAAACUCAGUGAUGCAUUGGCUUGUGGCCAAUGCAGUGCUGCAGGGAAGCCGUUAAGUUUGCCGCCUGGGAAGUACGUACGCAAGUAUGAAACUUAAAGGAAUUGGCGGGGGAGCACCACAAGGGGUGAAGCCUGCGGUUC